UUUUUUCUCCUAACCUUUCAGUUGCACAGCCAAAGUUUGCAAGAAAAACAGAGUGAUCCAUCUUAAGUCCCCACAGCCCCGAACUUCUGAGGAAAAACUUUCAAGUCAGCCAUGGAGCAGAAGACAAACGAGUGUCCCACCAACACCUCUCCUCAGAAACACAUGAAAAAUAGGUCUAAGUCCACAGAGGAGGUACAGCAGUCAAAGAAGGCCUUUUCCUCACAAAAAUCACUCCCAGGAAGACCAGAGCUGGAGAGAGUGAAGGAAUGUCCUGAUGGCUCUGAGACACCGUCAUCCUCCAGCGAAGAACUGAAAUAAUGAACAAAGCCAAAAAAAGAUGCCAUAAAGCUACAUCAUCAUAAACCUGAGACAUAAAAUGUGCAGAUGUACACAGAGGAACAUGCAGAAUAGUAUAUGAAAAAAAUGCAAGCCAUGAAUUGAUUAAAAGGAGAGAAUUGGACUAAAACACACACACGCACACACGCACGCACACACACACACAAAUUCACCCUACCACUGAAACAACAUGUAUGUGAACAGAAGGACACCUGUGAUGAUAUUGUUUCAUUGUACUGUGAGUGGUGUAUACAUGCCACCUGAAUGUGUAGUAACAAUAAAGUGAUGUUGCUGAGUGAA